rnacentral:lncRNA from 1 species
UUUACAAAAUAUUUCAUUCACUUGAACAACUCUAUAGAAAUUGUUUUGUCUUCUCUUUCCUCUUUUUAUUCUUUUUUUGAAGGAAUAUGUAUUGACAUGUAUUGAAAUAUUACAAACAUAAUGCCUUUUUUUUCCUUCCUCUUAUCCUUCUAUUUUUUCAUUCUUUUUUUUUCUUUUCUAUUUUUUUUCUUUUCUAUUUUUUUUCUUCUUUUUUCGCCAACUUCUGAAAUAUUACAAACAUAAUUAUUCAACCCCACACACUCCAAACAAGACUCUUUUAACCCUUUGAAUAGGGUGAUAACAUUGUUUUUCACUUC